rnacentral:lncRNA from 10 species
UUAGGUUCUGUUUAACAUUUUUCCUAAAACAAGGAGUCUUUGCCUGAACAGAUUUAGAAACCCCUACAUUCACCUUCAGCCAGACCUCCCUAGCAUAGGGAAGAAAUCACCUUGAGGGCAUCAUGACUUUCCACUGAAGUUCUGUUUAGAAUUUUGGACAUAAUUCAAAGAAAAUUAGCAUCAGCAGGCCCCAAGAGUUCUACCUAAACACCUGAAGCCACUGUUCCUCUCAAGCCUGAGCUACUGGACCGGGGGAAUAUGAACAACAGUCAGGAAACAAGUGUGAAGAACACAAAAUUAGCCGGGCAUAGUGACACGCGCCUGUAGUCCCAGCUACUCGGGAGGCUGAGACAGGAGAAUCGCUUGAACCCAGGAGGCAGAGGCUGCAGUGAGCCGAGAUCGCACCACUCCGGUCUAGGCAAGACACAGCAAGACUCCGUCUCAAAGAAAAGAAAAAAAAGAAAAAAAGAGUAAUUAGGAGCAUCUCAAUUCCGUGUGGCGGACAAAAAAAAAGGAGCAGACUGUGACAGACCAUUCCCAUCGGCCAAGUGGUCGAACCCGACAUCCAAGACCCAGCGAGCAAGCAAGCUCAGCGCAACCUCCGGGCUUCUCGCUCUGACUCCAAAAGGAGAUUUCAUCCUUCUGGAAUUCAUGCUACUGUAUUUUCCUCU